GACCAAUUCUGGCGGCGUGCUUAACACAUGCAAGUCGAACGGAAAGGCCCUGCUUUUGUGGGGUGCUCGAGUGGCGAACGGGUGAGUAACACGUGAGUAACCUGCCCUUGACUUUGGGAUAACUUCAGGAAACUGGGGCUAAUACCGGAUAGGAGCUCCUGCUGCAUGGUGGGGGUUGGAAAGUUUCGGCGGUUGGGGAUGGACUCGCGGCUUAUCAGCUUGUUGGUGGGGUAGUGGCUUACCAAGGCUUUGACGGGUAGCCGGCCUGAGAGGGUGACCGGCCACAUUGGGACUGAGAUACGGCCCAGACUCCUACGGGAGGCAGCAGUGGGGAAUAUUGCACAAUGGGCGGAAGCCUGAUGCAGCAACGCCGCGUGCGGGAUGACGGCCUUCGGGUUGUAAACCGCUUUCGCCUGUGACGAAGCGUGAGUGACGGUAAUGGGUAAAGAAGCACCGGCUAACUACGUGCCAGCAGCCGCGGUGAUACGUAGGGUGCGAGCGUUGUCCGGAUUUAUUGGGCGUAAAGGGCUCGUAGGUGGUUGAUCGCGUCGGAAGUGUAAUCUUGGGGCUUAACCCUGAGCGUGCUUUCGAUACGGGUUGACUUGAGGAAGGUAGGGGAGAAUGGAAUUCCUGGUGGAGCGGUGGAAUGCGCAGAUAUCAGGAGGAACACCAGUGGCGAAGGCGGUUCUCUGGGCCUUUCCUGACGCUGAGGAGCGAAAGCGUGGGGAGCGAACAGGCUUAGAUACCCUGGUAGUCCACGCUGUAAACGGUGGGUACUAGGUGUGGGGUCCAUUCCACGGGUUCCGUGCCGUAGCUAACGCUUUAAGUACCCCGCCUGGGGAGUACGGCCGCAAGGCUAAAACUCAAAGGAAUUGACGGGGCCCCGCACAAGCGGCGGAGCAUGCGGAUUAAUUCGAUGCAACGCGUAGAACCUUACCUGGGUUUGACAUGGAUCGGGAGCGCUCAGAGAUGGGUGUGCCUCUUUUGGGGUCGGUUCACAGGUGGUGCAUGGCUGUCGUCAGCUCGUGUCGUGAGAUGUUGGGUUAAGUCCCGCAACGAGCGCAACCCUUGUUCACUGUUGCCAGCACGUUAUGGUGGGGACUCAGUGGAGACCGCCGGGGUCAACUCGGAGGAAGGUGGGGAUGACGUCAAGUCAUCAUGCCCCUUAUGUCCAGGGCUUCACGCAUGCUACAAUGGCUGGUACAGAGAGUGGCGAGCCUGUGAGGGUGAGCGAAUCUCGGAAAGCCGGUCUCAGUUCGGAUUGGGGUCUGCAACUCGACCUCAUGAAGUCGGAGUCGCUAGUAAUCGCAGAUCAGCAACGCUGCGGUGAAUACGUUCCCGGGGCU
rnacentral:rRNA from 1 species